rnacentral:lncRNA from 1 species
CUGUGCUGUUUCAAAACCCUGGCCCAAGUCUGAUCUGGGGACAGGGUGCCAGGAGGCUCUGGGGGCAACAGGGCAGCCCUUCUUCCAGAGCAGGGGCUGCUUAUGAAAGAUCACAUCUGAUUCCUAAAGUGCUGGUAUAAAAUCCAGCAGAGAAAGAGGUCACCCCCACCCCACCCCGGCACAGACAUCAGCAGCACAUGAAAGGAGACACACAGAGGAAGGACUCACACCCAAAGAAAUGCAACUCUUCACCAGAAACCAAAGACAGGAAAAUUACACCAGGAGGCCAUUUGGAGCCUGUCGAGUCAACCAAGGGCCUGGAAGAGUGGCCCAAGGAGUGGUGGAACAUCCUAUCCUGCCAGCCACGGUCUCUUUGUCACAGCAUUUGGCCUGAAGGCACCCUCCCCCACCAGGCAAAAGACUGCAGAAGAUAAGAAGAAUGCACUAAGAAUCUGGUCCACUCCUGUCUGACGGCAAACUGGCCACUGUCUCUCUGCAGGGCAGUGAGGCGAUUUGCAGAAAGUCUGAAACUUUGCUCUACUUUUAACCCAGUGAUUCCACUCUAGGCUAUGUCCUAAGGGACUCAUUCUCAAAACAAAUUAAAAAAAUUUAUACUCACAGCAUUUUGUCACAGUGUUUUUUUUUUUUUUUUUCCUUAAGGCUACACCUGCAUCAUAUGGAAGUUCCCAGGCAAGGGGUCGAAUCAGAGCUACAGCUCUCAGCUUAAGCCACAGCCACAGCUACACCAGAUCCUGGCACAAUCUUA